UGCAGAUGUCCGGCACAGAAACAAUUUUACCAGAACUGUUAUUCUCUGCCCCAAAACCCUUGCCUGAAUGGUGGGACAUGCACGUCGAUUCUCACCGGUUACAGGUGUCACUGUUUGACUUCGUUCCUUGGGCCACGCUACCAGCAGACUCAGAACAUUUAACGGUAACGGCUAUGCAUGGAUUCAUCCUAUCGGCCUCUGCUCGGACAGCCAUCUAUCGCUGGAGUUCGUAAGCGACAGCACAGAUGGAUUGUUACUACACAGCGGAGCGUCAAGAGACAGUAAGAACUUCAUCGCAGUUGAGAUUACGAGCGGCCGGCUCCUUCUCAUCUUCAGACAAAACCUGACCCCGCUGAGGCUCGGCUUUCCAGAGCAGGAGAACGUUACAGACAGA